GGGCCUGUUGCACAAAAGUAGAAUUAAGACAUCCAGGCUAAAUGACUGAGCUGAGCUCAAUGAAGCCAAAACAAGUGCGUCCACGCUUAAUUGGUUGCACAAAGACCAAGCCAGGAUGAUCAGACACGGAUUCAUCAAGCCAGGUGAAACCAAUCCUGGAUAGGUGCGCGCUCACGGCUCACUCAACUAGACCCCGCCACCGAUCACAGAUUCACAGAUUCACCAUGGCAACUAGCGGCGUUCUUUUCCCCGUCAGAGGCACAAAUCCAUACGAGGAGGUAAAAGACAUAAUUAAGAAGAAAGGCAACACCGCCACAGUGGUAAAGCAGAGAGAAAAAGCGUGGCAAAGUAUUGCAGACCGCCUGAAUGCGUCAUUUUGCUCAUCAAGAAAAUGCAUCUUAAUUGAAGAAUUUUUUGAUAUUUUUACUGAAAACAAGACAACAAUACAAAGUAAGUCAUUUUUUGCAGUGUGACUCCAUUGAAUGUUCUUGUGUGUUAAAGAAAGUCUCUCUUUUUGUGUGUGGUGUUGUGUGAUGUAGAUUAAAUAUGACCGGGCCAAAACGGACAUGGCAGCAGGUCAAAAUCAAAAUCUGCAGAAUGCAGUGAAAAAGAAUACCCAGAGACAAGGCACGGGUGGUGGGUCACCAAAAGCUGACCUCACCCCAGCAGAGGCCAGCUUUGGAGCUAAAUAAAGGCAGGCCUGUUGGAGGGGAUCCCUGGGGGAAAAGAGACAAGCAUAGGUCCCUCACAAGAUGCCACCCGCUUCAUACAAGUGUCUGGCAGCACUGUGUUACUGUUAAAGCCACCAGCAUGAGCACCAGACGAUGCUGAUCCAGUGAGUACUCCAUCAAAGGCAUACUGUAGGGGUGGCACGUCUUGUCUACUAGCUUCAAUAUGAAUCCGAUUAAAUGUGAUGGGGUCAAGGCCCCAUUUCAUCAGCACAUAACGGCGAUGAUGAUGAGGAGACCAUCUCGCUGGAUUCCAAAAGGCAUAAGGUAUCAUGUCAAACUUGUGAAAGUACUAUACAAAGGAGUCAUCAUUGGAAGCCAUCACAAAAUCUCAUUUCUUUUACAGGACCUAGAGUCAUUGGUGCACUGGACUGCACAAACAUAAGGAUAAAAGCCCCCUCAGGUGCCCAUGAGGCAGAUUUUGUAAAUAUGAAAUCUUUUUACAGCAUUAAUGUUCAGGUGAACAUAACUUUUUUAUCUUUUCCAUUGAACACUGGCAAAAUGGCCUGGCUCAGUCCAUGACUCCAGAAUCUUUUGGACCUCUGAAAUCUAUCAGCACCUAUCACAAGGUGAAUUCUCUGGUGUGUUGCUGGUAGACAGGGGUAAGGCUGCCAGCCGUUUUUCCUGACACCUUUCACAGACCCCCAGGAAGCACAGCAGGCCUACAACUAUGCCCAUGCUAGGGCCAGAGUUGAAAUGACCUUUGGCCUCCUGAAGGCACGCUCUCACUGCCUUCACAAAUUAAGGGUCAGCCCCGUGAGGGCAUGUGACAUUACUGUGGCUUGUGGUGUCCUGCACAAUGUGGCCUGCCUGAGGAAGGAGAGGGCACCCAGAGUGCCGCCAGCCAUGGACUGGGACAAUCCGGAAAUCUUCCCUGAUGACAACAGUGGUCGGCUGCUGAGGGACCAAUAUGUGUUGAAUUAUUUUAGUCAGUAUGUGUGCUUUCACAUUUUUUUAUGUUUGUGCUGUAUACUGUGUGUAUACUGUUUGUAAUACAAGCUUGCAGGGAGGCUACUGCAUCCAUUAAUUGUCUUGUUUUCAGUUGUCUGAAAUUGUCUGUUCAGUUAAUGUGCAUGAAUUUGUCCUGCAUUUAUUUCAGUGUGCAGACAUGCAGGGUGUGUUAUAUACAGACCUUUGAAUGUGUAUUUAUCCUUUGGUUGUAUAAUAUGCUUUGAUUCUGUGCUUUCCAUCUUGUAGAGUCACUGUGUGACUUCAGUUUCGAAAGGAGCUGAUGGUUUA